rnacentral:rRNA from 1 species
GACGAACGCUGGCGGCGUGCUUAACACAUGCAAGUCGAGCGGUGAAGCGCCUUCCUUUUUGGUGGGUGUGGAUGAGUGGCGAACGGGUGAGUAACACGUGAGUAACCUGCCCCCUUCUUCUGGAUAACCGCAUGAAAGUGUGGCUAAUACGGGAUAUUCUGGGUCUGUCGCAUGAUGGGUCUGGGAAAGAUAUUGUUUCGGUGGGGGAUGGGCUCGCGGCCUAUCAGCUUGUUGGUGGGGUGAUGGCCUACCAAGGCGGUGCCGGGUAGCCGGCCUGAGAGGGUGGACGGUCACACUGGGACUGAGACACGGCCCAGCCUCCUACGGGAGGCAGCAGUGGGGAAUAUUGCACAAUGGGCGCAAGCCUGAUGCAGCGACGCCGCGUGAGGGAUGGAGGCCUUCGGGUUGUGAACCUCUUUCGCCAGUGAAGCAGGCCUGCCUCGUUUGUGGGUGGGUUGACGGUAGCUGGAUAAGAAGCGCCGGCUAACUACGUG